rnacentral:rRNA from 1 species
GAUGAACGCUGGCGGCGUGCUUAACACAUGCAAGUCGAACGGGAUCCAUCAAGCUUGCUUGGUGGUGAGAGUGGCGAACGGGUGAGUAAUGCGUGACCGACCUGCCCCAUGCUCCGGAAUAGCUCCUGGAAACGGGUGGUAAUGCCGGAUGUUCCACAUGAUCGCAUGUGAUUGUGGGAAAGAUUCUAUCGGCGUGGGAUGGGGUCGCGUCCUAUCAGCUUGUUGGUGAGGUAACGGCUCACCAAGGCUUCGACGGGUAGCCGGCCUGAGAGGGCGACCGGCCACAUUGGGACUGAGAUACGGCCCAGACUCCUACGGGAGGCAGCAGUGGGGAAUAUUGCACAAUGGGCGCAAGCCUGAUGCAGCGACGCCGCGUGAGGGAUGGAGGCCUUCGGGUUGUAAACCUCUUUUGUUUGGGAGCAAGCCUUCGGGUGAGU